UACGAGGGGGGCGAGCGUUGUUCGGAAUUAUUGGGCGUAAAGCGUGCGUAGGUGGUCUGUUAAGUGAGAUGUGAAAGCGCGGGGCUCAACCCUGUCGUUGUGUCUCAUACUGGCAGACUAGAGGAUGGCAGAGGCAAGUGGAACUAGUAGUGUAGCAGUGAAAUGCGUAGAUAUUACUAAGAACACCAAUGGCGAAGGCAGCUUGCUGGGCCACCCCUGACACUGAGGUACGAAAGCGUGGGGAGCGAACAGG
rnacentral:rRNA from 1 species